CCGGUUGAUCCUGCCAGAGGUUACUGCUAUCAGGGUUCGACUAAGCCAUGUGAGUCAAGUGUUCUUUGUGAACACGGCGAACUGCUCAGUAACACGCGGAUAAUCUACCCUUAGGUUUGGGAUAACCCCGGGAAACUGGGGAUAAUAUCGAAUAUUUCAAGGUUGCUGGAAUGCACUUUGAUUAAAAGCUACGGCGCCUAAGGAUGAGUCUGUGGCCUAUCAGGUAGUAGUGGGUGUAACGUACCUACUAGCCCGCGACGGGUACGGGUUGUGAGAGCAAGAGCCCGGAGAUGGAUUCUGAGACACGAAUCCAGGCCCUACGGGGUGCAGCAGGCGCGAAACCUUUACAAUGCGCGAAAGCGCGAUAAGGGAACCCUGAGUGCCAGCACACAGUGCUGGCUGUCCAACUGUUCAAAAAACAGCUGAUAGCAAGGGCCGGGCAAGACCGGUGCCAGCCGCCGCGGUAACACCGGCGGCCCGAGUGGUAACCGAUUUUAUUGGGCUUAAAGCGUUCGUAGCCGGUUUGGUAAGUCUCUUAGGAAAUCUGGCAGCUUAACUGCUAGGCGUCUAAGAGAUACUGCCAAACUUGGGACCGGGAGAGGUAGGAGGUACUCCAUGGGUAGGGGUGAAAUCUUGUAAUCCUUGGAGGACCAUCGAUGGCGAAGGCAUCCUACCAGAACGGGUCCGACGGUGAGGGACGAAAGCUGGGGGCACAAACCGGAUUAGAUACCCGGGUAGUCCCAGCUGUAAACGAUGCUCGCUAGGUGUCGGGUGCGGUGCGUCCGUAUUCGGUGCCGUAGGGAAACCGCGAAGCGAGCCGCCUGGGAAGUACGGUCGCAAGGCUGAAACUUAAAGGAAUUGGCGGGGGAGCAC
rnacentral:rRNA from 1 species